GCGCGAAAACUCUACAAUGCAGGCAACUGCGAUAGGGGGACAUCGAGUGGCAUCCACCUUGGGUGCCUGUCCCACCGUCUAAAAAACGGUGGUUAGCAAGGGCCGGGCAAGACCGGUGCCAGCCGCCGCGGUAAUACCGGCGGCUCGAGUGGUGGCCGAUAUUAUUGAGUCUAAAGGGUCCGUAGCCGGCUUUGCAAGUCCCCCGGGAAAUCCAGCGGCUUAACCGUUGGGCUUUCAUGGGAUACUACAUUGCUUGGGACUGGGAGAGGUAGGAGGUACUCGGGGGGUAGGGGUGAAAUCCUGUAAUCCCCCGGGGACCACCGGUGGCGAAGGCGUCCUACCAGAACAGGUCCGACGGUGAGGGACGAAAGCUAGGGGCACGAACCGGAUUAGAUACCCGGGUAGUCCCAGCCGUAAACGAUGCCCGCUAGGUGUCACGGCGGUCGUGAAUCGCCGUGGUGCCGUAGGGAAGCCGCGAAGCGGGCCACUUGGGAAGUACGGCCGCAAGGCUGAAACUUAAAGGAAUUGGCGGGGGAGCAC
rnacentral:rRNA from 1 species